GACGAACGCUGGCGGCGUGCUUAACACAUGCAAGUCGAACGGAAAGGCCCUGCUUUUGUGGGGUGCUCGAGUGGCGAACGGGUGAGUAACACGUGAGUAACCUGCCCUUGACUUUGGGAUAACUUCAGGAAACUGGGGCUAAUACCGGAUAGGAGCUCCUGCUGCAUGGUGGGGGUUGGAAAGUUUCGGCGGUUGGGGAUGGACUCGCGGCUUAUCAGCUUGUUGGUGGGGUAGUGGCUUACCAAGGCUUUGACGGGUAGCCGGCCUGAGAGGGUGGCCGGCCACAUUGGGACUGAGAUACGGCCCAGACUCCUACGAGAGGCAGCAGUGGGGAAUAUUGCACAAUGGGCGGAAGCCUGAUGCAGCAACGCCGCGUGCGGGAUGACGGCCUUCGGGUUGUAAACCGCUUUCGCCUGUGACGAAGCGUGAGUGACGGUAAUGGGUAAAGAAGCACCGGCUAACUACGUG
rnacentral:rRNA from 1 species